rnacentral:piRNA from 1 species
UGCCAUGUCUUUCUUCAGUGUUAUGGC